AGUGAACGCUGGCGGUAGGCCUAACACAUGCAAGUCGAACGGCAGCACGGGAGAGCUUGCUCUCUGGGUGGCGAGUGGCGGACGGGUGAGGAAUACAUCGGAAUCUACCUUGUCGUGGGGGAUAACGUAGGGAAACUUACGCUAAUACCGCAUACGACCUUCGGGUGAAAGUGGGGGACCGCAAGGCCUCACGCGAUUAGAUGAGCCGAUGUCGGAUUAGCUAGUUGGCGGGGUAAAAGCCCACCAAGGCGACGAUCCGUAGCUGGUCUGAGAGGAUGAUCAGCCACACUGGAACUGAGACACGGUCCAGACUCCUACGGGAGGAAGCAGUGGGGAAUAUUGGACAAUGGGCGCAAGCCUGAUCCAGCCAUACCGCGUGGGUGAAGAAGGCCUUCGGGUUGUAAAGCCCUUUUGUUGGGAAAGAAGUCCUGUCGAUUAAUACUCGGUGGGGAUGACGGUACCCAAAGAAUAAGCACCGGCUAACUUCGUGCCAGCCGCCGCAGUAAUAC
rnacentral:rRNA from 1 species